AGAGUUUGAUCCUGGCUCAGGAUGAACGCUGGCGGCGUGCUUAACACAUGCAAGUCGAACGAACCUUCGGGUUAGUGGCGGACGGGUGAGUAACGCGUGAGAAUCUGCCCUCAGGAGGGGGAUAACGGCUGGAAACGGCCGCUAAUACCCCAUAUGCCGAGAGGUGAAAUGAGUAUUCGCCUGAGGAUGAGCUCGCGUCUGAUUAGCUAGUUGGUGGGGUAAGAGCCUACCAAGGCAUCGAUCAGUAGCUGGUCUGAGAGGAUGAUCAGCCACACUGGGACUGAGACACGGCCCAGACUCCUACGGGAGGCAGCAGUGGGGAAUUUUCCGCAAUGGGCGAAAGCCUGACGGAGCAACGCCGCGUGAGGGAUGAAGGCCUCUGGGCUGUAAACCUCUUUUAUCAAGGAAGAAGAUCUGACGGUACUUGAUGAAUAAGCCACGGCUAAUUCCGUGCCAGCAGCCGCGGUAAUACGGGAGUGGCAAGCGUUAUCCGGAAUUAUUGGGCGUAAAGCGUCCGCAGGCGGCCUGAUAAGUCUGUUGUCAAAGCGUGGAGCUUAACUCCAUUUCGGCAAUGGAAACUGUGAGGCUUGAGUGUGGUAGGGGCAGAGGGAAUUCCCGGUGUAGCGGUGAAAUGCGUAGAUAUCGGGAAGAACACCAGUGGCGAAGGCGCUCUGCUGGGCCAUAACUGACGCUCAUGGACGAAAGCCAGGGGAGCGAAAGGGAUUAGAUACCCCUGUAGUCCUGGCCGUAAACGAUGAACACUAGGUGUCGGGGGAAUCGACCCCCUCGGUGUCGUAGCCAACGCGUUAAGUGUUCCGCCUGGGGAGUACGCACGCAAGUGUGAAACUCAAAGGAAUUGACGG
rnacentral:rRNA from 1 species